UGGGGAAUUUUGGACAAUGGGCGCAAGCCUGAUCCAGCAAUGCCGCGCGCAGGAUGAAGGCCUUCGGGUUGUAAACUGCUUUUGUACGGAGCGAAACGGUUUUCUCUAAUACAGAGAGCUAAUGACGGUACCGUAAGAAUAAGCACCGGCUAACUACGUGCCAGCAGCCGCGGUAAUACGUAGGGUGCGAGCGUUAAUCGGAAUUACUGGGCGUAAAGCGUGCGCAGGCGGUAAUGCAAGACAGAUGUGAAAUCCCCGGGCUUAACCUGGGAACUGUAUUUGUGACUGCAUUGCUGGAGUGCGGCAGAGGGGGAUGGAAUUCCGCGUGUAGCAGUGAAAUGCGUAGAUAUGCGGAGGAACACCGAUGGUGAAGGCAAUCCCCUGGGCCUGCACUGACGCUCAUGCACGAAAGCGUGGGGAGCAAACA
rnacentral:rRNA from 1 species